rnacentral:rRNA from 1 species
ACGGAGGAAAAGAAACCAACUGGGAUUACCUUAGUAACGGCGAGUGAAGCGGUAAAAGCUCAAAUUUGAAAUCUGGUACUUUCAGUGCCCGAGUUGUAAUUUGUAGAAUUUGUCUUUGAUUAGGUCCUUGUCUAUGUUCCUUGGAACAGGACGUCAUAGAGGGUGAGAAUCCCGUUUGGCGAGGAUACCUUUUCUCUGUAAGACUUUUUCGAAGAGUCGAGUUGUUUGGGAAUGCAGCUCAAAGUGGGUGGUAAAUUCCAUCUAAAGCUAAAUAUUGGCGAGAGACCGAUAGCGAACAAGUACAGUGAUGGAAAGAUGAAAAGAACUUUGAAAAGAGAGUGAAAAAGUACGUGAAAUUGUUGAAAGGGAAGGGCAUUUGAUCAGACAUGGUGUUUUUUGCAUGCACUCGCCUCUCGUGGGCUUGGGCCUCUCAAAAAUUUCACUGGGCCAACAUCAAUUCUGGCAGCAGGAUAAAUCAUUAAGAAUGUAGCUACUCUGUAGUGUUAUAGCUUUUUGGAAUACUGUUAGCCGGGAUUGAGGACUGCGCUUCGGCAAGGAUGUUGGCAUAAUGGUUAAAUGCCGCCCGUCUUGA